rnacentral:rRNA from 1 species
ACGGAAGGCAGCAGUAGGGAAUUUUCGGCAAUGGGCGAAAGCCUGACCGAGCAAUGCCGCGUGAAUGAUGAAGAUCUUCGGAUCGUAAAUUUCUGUGGUUGGGGACGAAAAACAGGAGUAGGAAAUGACUUCUGCCUGACGGUACCCAUCUAGAAAGCCCCGGCUAACUAUGUGCCAGCAGCCGCGGUAAUACAUAGGGGGCAAGCGUUAUCCGGAUUUAUUGGGCGUAAAGCGUGCGUAGGCUGUUGAUUAAGUCUGGUGUGAAAUCCCACGGCUCAACCGUGGAGGGUCAUUGGAAACUGGUCAACUAGAAUCCAGAAGGGGUAAGUGGAAUUCCAUGUGGAGCGGUAAAAUGCUUAGAUAUAUGGAGGAACACCAGUGGCGAAGGCGGCUUACUGGUCUGGCAUUGACGCUGAGGCACGAAAGCGUGGGUAGCAAACAGGAUUAGAUACCCUGGUA